rnacentral:snRNA from 1 species
CGGAAGGGAGAGGGAGAU